GGGGAUAUAACUUAAUUGGUAGAGUGUAUGCUUUGCAAGCAUAAAGUUGAGAGUUCAAAUCUCUCUAUCUCCA
rnacentral:tRNA from 6 species